ACGAACGCUGGCGGCAGGCUUCACACAUGCAAGUCGAACGGAUCCUUCGGGAUUAGUGGCAGACGGGUGAGUAACGCGUGGGAACGUACCCUUUGCUACGGAAUAACUCAGGGAAACUUGAGCUAAUACCGUAUGUGCCCUACGUGGGAAAGAUUUAUCGGCAAAGGAUCGGCCCGCGUUGGAUUAGCUAGUUGGUGUGGUAAUGGCCUACCAAGGCGACGAUCCAUAGCUGGUCUGAGAGGAUGAUCAGCCACACUGGGACUGAGACACGGCCCAGACUCCUACGGGAGGCAGCAGUGGGGAAUAUUGGACAAUGGGCGCAAGCCUGAUCCAGCCAUGCCGCGUGAGUGAUGAAGGUCUUAGGAUUGUAAAGCUCUUUCACCGGUGAAGAUAAUGACGGUAGCCGGAGAAGAAGCCCCGGCUAACUUCGUG
rnacentral:rRNA from 1 species